AUUGAACGCUGGCGGCAGGCCUAACACAUGCAAGUCGGACGGUAGCACAGAGAGCUUGCUCUUGGGUGACGAGUGGCGGACGGGUGAGUAAUGUCUGGGGAUCUGCCCGAUAGAGGGGGAUAACCACUGGAAACGGUGGCUAAUACCGCAUAACGUCGCAAGACCAAAGAGGGGGACCUUCGGGCCUCUCACUAUCGGAUGAACCCAGAUGGGAUUAGCUGGUAGGCGGGGUAAUGGCCCACCUAGGCGACGAUCCCUAGCUGGUCUGAGAGGAUGACCAGCCAAACUGGAACUGAGACACGGUCCAGACUCCUACGGGAGGCAGCAGUGGGGAAUAUUGCACAAUGGGCGCAAGCCUGAUGCAGCCAUGCCGCGUGUAUGAAGAAGGCCUUCGGGUUGUAAAGUACUUUCAGCGGGGAGGAAGGCGGUGAGGUUAAUAACCUCGCCGAUUGACGUUACCCGCAGAGGAAGCACCGGCUAACUCCGUGCCAGCCGCCGCCGUAA
rnacentral:rRNA from 1 species